UACGGAGGAUGCGAGCGUUAUCCGGAUUCAUUGGGUUUAAAGGGUACGUAGGCGGUCUAAUAAGUCAGUGGUGAAAUCCUGCGGCUCAACCGUAGAACUGCCAUUGAUACUGUUAGACUUGAAUAUAGUUGAGGUAGGCGGAAUGUGUUGUGUAGCGGUGAAAUGCUUAGAUAUAACACAGAACACCGAUUGCGAAGGCAGCUUACUAGACUAUUAUUGACGCUGAGGUACGAAAGCGUGGGGAGCGAACAGG
rnacentral:rRNA from 1 species